UGUGGGAGCGAGCUUGCUCGCGAUAGCGGUGGGUCUGUUGCAUUGAUGUUGGAUGUACCGUCGCUAUCGCGAGCAAGCUCGCUCCCACA
rnacentral:misc_RNA from 1 species